rnacentral:rRNA from 1 species
GACGAACGCUGGCGGCGUGCCUAACACAUGCAAGUCGUACGGGAUUGGGGGCAACUCCAAUUCAGUGGCGGACGGGUGCGUAACACGUGAGGAACCCGCCCUAUGGUGGGGGAUAGCCGGCCUAACGGCCGGGUAAUACCGCAUACGCCGCCGGGGUCGCAUGGCCCUGGCGGGAAAGCGGCCGCAAGGUCGCGCCAAAGGAGGGGCUCGCGCCCUAUCAGCUCGUUGGUGGGGUAACGGCUCACCAAGGCUAUGACGGGUAGCUGGUCUGAGAGGAUGGCCAGCCACAUUGGGACUGAGAUACGGCCCAGACUCCUACGGGAGGCAGCAGUGGGGAAUAUUGCGCAAUGGCCGCAAGGCUGACGCAGCGACGCCGCGUGUGGGAUGACGGCCUUC